rnacentral:rRNA from 1 species
GACGAACGCUGGCGGCGUGCUUAACACAUGCAAGUCGAACGAUGAAGCUCCAGCUUGCUGGGGUGGAUUAGUGGCGAACGGGUGAGUAAUACGUGAGUAACCUGCCCUUGACUCUGGGAUAAGCCUGGGAAACUGGGUCUAAUACUGGAUACUACACAUUCUCGCAUGGGGGUGUGUGGAAAGGGUUUUACUGGUUUUGGAUGGGCUCACGGCCUAUCAGCUUGUUGGUGGGGUAAUGGCCUACCAAGGCGACGACGGGUAGCCGGCCUGAGAGGGUGACCGGCCACACUGGGACUGAGACACGGCCCAGACUCCUACGGGAGGCAGCAGUGGGGAAUAUUGCACAAUGGGCGAAAGCCUGAUGCAGCGACGCCGCGUGAGGGAUGACGGCCUUCGGGUUGUAAACCUCUUUCAGCACGGAAGAAGCGAAAGUGACGGUACGUGCAGAAGAAGCGCCGGCUAACUACGUGCCAGCAGCCGCGGUAAUACGUAGGGCGCAAGCGUUGUCCGGAAUUAUUGGGCGUAAAGAGCUCGUAGGCGGUUUGUCGCGUCUGCUGUGAAAGCCCGGGGCUUAACCCCGUGGUGUGCAGUGGGUACGGGCAGACUAGAGUGCAGUAGGGGAGACUGGAAUUCCUGGUGUAGCGGUGAAA